UGUAUGUGGCCUGAUAACUUCUCUCUAAUGAAGCGCCCUUGGUGUGGCUUCCAGGGAUGCACUUUCACUGUCCACACUGCUGAAACCUCUUUGUGUCACACAGACCUUUUCUGAAAUCAGCAGUUUACUUGUGGCUUCAACAACUUCUGGCUACUUUUUGCCAUCUUAAUGCUACCUUGGUGAAGUCAAGCUGUUUGCACAUCCUUUCCCUCCAGCCCUUAGAGGAAACUUUCACAUGAAUGUAAAAUCCUUUGCUGUGAGGUGAUUCAUUAGGUAGGAUAUGUAAUGCUCUCCUUGGUCUCUAAAUGUUUCAGCCAACUGAUAAAUAAUCAAGAACCUUGAAUAUUCCUUUCUGUCUGUCUGUCUCCUCAGAGUGCUUUGUUUAACUCGCAGUAAUUUAUGGUGAGUGCAUGAAAGCCAGUCACUGUAAUGUCACAGACAUGAAUAACCACAGUACAUUCUGUCACUUGGGGGCUUUUUUCAAUGCCAGGCAACAGACUUGUCCCAGGGCAGGGUUUGUUUGGGCUUGUUGCUGUUGUCAUUUUGCUCCUCUGCAUUUUUAAGUGUCCUAAUUAAAUAGUAAGACUGAAAAAAAUAAAAUCAAAGUUUUAUACAUUCUUCCAAAAUCCAAGUGCCAUUUCCAAUGAGAGCUCUUUGGGUUAUUUUUGGGUUGCUAUAGGCCCUUUUUCCUUUCCCAACCUUAUAAUCUUAAGUCCAAACUUUUUGACCUUGAUACCUUUGUUAUUGUUUUCUGAUUGCCCAGGUGAAUGCAAUGAAUGUCUGUGGAGCCAGGUCCUUGAAGAAGAGCUCUGCAAAAUGAGAUUUUCUCCUGGAAGGUCAGCCCAAGCUCAGCAGGGACUCAGCAGCACACCUGCCCUUGCACAUGUGACUGAACAUCUCCUGCUGGCUGCUUCAUCUCCAGCACUGCUACUUCCUAAAGUUAGAAGCAAAUAAAAGUCAUGCUUCAUGAAAAAUAAAUCUCUAUAAUUUAGGUCUCCAGCACCACCUGGUCUUCCAUCCUCUCCCCUAACCUCUUCCUGGAUAACAUUUCCUGUGCUGAUUGUAUUAGUGUAGCAUGGAGUGAAGUACAGUCAAAGGCUAAUCUUUUUGUGAUUGAGUAUUAGAUUCCUCAUUUCAAGAGGCUCUUACAAACAGCUUUUUGUCAGACUGAUGGAAGAUGGCAAGGAUGGAAAAGAAGUUGAGGGAAAAGUACGUGUCUCUUCCCAAGGGUUUUAUUCUCUUUUCCUUCAUAGCUUUUACAUUAUGGCAAAUAGUAUAAUUUAGAGUUGUAAUUUCAAAAAAGAUGUUCAUUACUGAGAAGGCAGCUUGAUCAAAUCUUCCUCAGAAGACACUUAAUUGACAGUGUUUAGGACUGACAACACACCUGAGAUGGAUUACCAGCAAUUCAUCCUUGAAACAGAAGGAAAGGAUGAGAAGGACAAAACAGACAGAAAGAAAAAACCUGGAGCUGCAGGAUCUAAAAUGGAGUAAACAUGCAACUGAAUAAUACUGAUCCUAUGCUUCCUGAAUCCUCUUUAGAAGUGUAUAAAAUUGCAUAUUAAAAUCCAUUAAUUGCUAACACUGAUGCUCCUCAGGCAAAGCAAGUCCUUUACCCCUUAUGCAGAAGAUGGGACCUGUCCUAGAGACUGGUCCUCCCAGGACUUUCCUUUCCUAUCUUAAAACAAUCAUUUUUUAAUCACUUUUAAUACCUCUAUGAAUUGCUCUCCUGUCCCUACUCCCAAAAGAAAAUAUUUGCAUGCAGGUUAUAAAGGGUGGUGUCCAGAAGAGACCUGGCAGUUAAAGCAAAAUGUACACAUGAUGCAAGUAAAAGAUAUAUAUAAUAACACAUAAUACCUGUCCCCAGCCACCACCCAAUUCUGGAGGGUCUGACUUUGAUUAUGUCUCUCCUUGAACUUUGUGAGUACUCUAUAUUUACAUGUUUGCUGCUGCUCAGCCUCAACCGUUGUACUUUUUAUGUUAGGUAGAAGCAGGAAAAGAUACACUCUGGAGUCUGGUUAUUUUUGUUUAUCGUGGGAGGGAGGAUUUAAGGUAAAGUUUCAGAACUGCUCUCUCCCAGAAAAGUAACUUGUGCUGCUGUCUAGAAAAUAAUGUGUUCAUGAGAAUACUGGGCCAAACAGUGGGCAUGGCAAAGGGUCUCUGCUUUGUCACCUCACAGUUAAAGGUCUUGCUGUGAGUUUGGCAGGUGAAGGGGGGGAAGGACCAAAAACUCUUCCUCUGCUGUUUGUGUGCCAGUUGUGUUUGUGUCUAACAGGUUUAAACACUGAUACCCAGGAGGAAAGGAGGAUUCUGUCCAAAGACCCUGAGGAGAUGGAGCUGCUUCCCUGCAAGCCUGGGUGAGGAGCCUCCAGGAGAGGUGAGCUGGCAGAUCUGUCCCUGGGUGCAGCAUCCUCUGUGAGCUUGCACUGAGCUGACUUUCUGCUCUGGGAGUGUUUUCUUGUUGGGGGUACCCUGAUCUCUCCCUGCCAGCUGGAGGCAAGGCAGCUUCUGGAUUCAAUCCCUGCAGUACAAAAGUCUCAAAACAAAACACUGUGUCACCUAAUUGCAAGAGCUGAAAUUAUUUAUGGACCUGGCCUUUGGAGUCAGAGUCUCAAACUUCUUUAAUUACCUUUGGGGAUCUGUGCACAGAAUACCAUGGUGAUGAGAAUAAUAUUUGGAAUUCAAGUCUUGUCUAGUGUGCUUUAGCAGCUGGAAUGGGCAAGCAGCAGAUUAUGACCAUAACAGAAAUAAUGCCAGAAACCUACAUGCCCAGAGUUUGGAGUGUUGGCUUUUUAAUCAGAUGCAUAAAACUCUGGUUAUCAUUCUUAAGCCCUUCUGGAAACAAAAUUUGGAAGGAAAGCUCCUGUUCAAUAUUUAGUGUCCUUGCGCAGUGUGAAUCUUUACCUACAAAUCUCCUCACCAAAGGAGGAAAGACUAGAAUGUAAAAUGUUGUCUUGAUACUGCUAUCUGGAGCAUUAUAUACACUCACUAAAACCUAAAAACUGAGCAUGCAAAUUAUUCCCAUUACAGAUCCACACCAACAUUGCUGAAAUUAGUCUGAAUCUAUCAUUGCUUGAUUCAAACUUUAUAAAAUCUCUGGGGACAACUUAAAUGUUUAAGGUGAUUUGUUUCUCCGGGGAAGCCAUCCAGGCUCAUUAGCAGACCAUGGCAGUUGUCAGGACUGAUGAUAUCUGGAGGCAGCUGCUGUUUUCCAGCUCACCUCUAAGGAUCCACUGAGGCACAGCUACACAGGACUCUCCAUGGGAUGAUGUAAGAUUUGGAGCCACAGACAGCCCACAUUCAGCCAGACCAUAGCACAAAUCUAUCAGCCUCAGCCACGUGGGAUUCAUCUGAGCAAAUAAACUGGUUGUCUAGUCUUGUUUUGGCACCACAGGAAAAUUGGCACAUCCAAGGCAUGAUUCAUCUUGCCCUAAAGCUGAUAUCUAAAAUAAGUCAGCUGAGCAUGCUGUAAAAGUGCCUGUUUCCCUUCAUGGCUACAAAGGAUGGGAGGCUCGGUGAGGCACAGAUGUCUCCAGCGUGGAUGUUUUGAAUUAGGCAAGAUGAAUGCUGUCUAUGCUGUAUUUUUAAAAAAUGCCUUUUGUGAUGGAUACUCAGGUCUGAAAUUGGAAGUAUAAGUUCAAUUAUAAAGUACAGUGUCCUCAAGGGCCCUCGAAGAAAUGUGUUUGCUCUGAGUUCAACCCUGAUCUGAAGCCCUGGUGCAUCUUUUCCCAGAAUUUGGUGACUAUAACUUGACAGACACUUCACUGUUUAGUCCUCUCUAUCACUUUCAUUUAGCAACUGAAUUAAAAGAUUUAAUGGAUAUUUUUAGAGUUUGCUCACAUUAAAAUUGUUUGAACCAGGUAGCAUAGACAUUUCCCCCUUCUUCCACAAAGAGCUCUAGGAUUUGUAACAAUGAAAACAUAACUUUGCUUCAGAUGGCUGUUGUCUUAAUUUUUCCCCCCCUUUGUCUUGUGUCAUCUAAUAUUUUGAUUGUGCCACAGCUCAGAGGAGAAUUUUUUUUUUUUGAGUAGUUUGGAACAUCUUGAGCUUUGAUUUCUAAUCAAUUUGCACUAACAGUUGCGGAAACCAGUAUAACAAGCCAAGCCUCUUCUGUCUCUUUCUCUUUCUUACAUUUGGAAAAAUAAAUCUGAGCAGCGACGUGA